rnacentral:rRNA from 1 species
CCUGCAUGAAUGGCGUAACGAGAUGGGAGCUGUCUCAAAGAGGGAUCCAGUGAAAUUGUAGUGGAGGUGAAAAUUCCUCCUACCCGCGGCAAGACGGAGAGACCCCGUGGACCUUUACUACAGCUUGACACUGCUAUUUGGAUAAGAAUGUGCAGGAUUAGGUGGGAGGCUUUGAGUGUAUGACGCCAGUUGUAUAUGAGCCAUUGUUGAGAUACCACUCUUUCUUAUUUGGGUAGCUAACCAGCUUGAGUUAUCCUCAAGUGGGACAAUGUCUGGUGGGUAGUUUGACUGGGGCGGUCGCCUCCCAAAUAAUAACGGAGGCUUACAAAGGUUGGCUCAAAACGGUUGGAAAUCGUUUGUAGAGUAUAAAGGUAUAAGCCAGCUUAACUGCAAGACAUACAAGUCAAGCAGGGACGAAAGUCGGUCUUAGUGAUCCGGUGGUUCUGUGUGGAAGGGCCAUCGCUCAAAGGAUAAAAGGUACCCCGGGGAUAACAGGCUGAUCUCCCCCAAGAGCUCACAUCGACGGGGAGGUUUGGCAC